CAUAGGUUAAUGAGGCGAACCGGGGGAACUGAAACAUCUAAGUACCCCGAGGAAAAGAAAUCAACCGAGAUUCCCCCAGUAGCGGCGAGCGAACGGGGAGGAGCCCAGAGCCUGAAUCAGUGUGUGUGUUAGUGGAAGCGUCUGGAAAGGCGCGCGAUACAGGGUGACAGCCCCGUACACAAAAAUGCACAUACUGUGAGCUCGAUGAGUAGGGCGGGACACGUGGUAUCCUGUCUGAAUAUGGGGGGACCAUCCUCCAAGGCUAAAUACUCCUGACUGACCGAUAGUGAACCAGUACCGUGAGGGAAAGGCGAAAAGAACCCCGGCGAGGGGAGUGAAAAAGAACCUGAAACCGUGUACGUACAAGCAGUGGGAGCCUCUUAAUGGGGUGACUGCGUACCUUUUGUAUAAUGGGUCAGCGACUUAUAUUCUGUAGCAAGGUUAACCGAAUAGGGGAGCCGAAGGGAAACCGAGUCUUAACUGGGCGUUAAGUUGCAGGGUAUAGACCCGAAACCCGGUGAUCUAGCCAUGGGCAGGUUGAAGGUUGGGUAACACUAACUGGAGGACCGAACCGACUAAUGUUGAAAAAUUAGCGGAUGACUUGUGGCUGGGGGUGAAAGGCCAAUCAAACCGGGAGAUAGCUGGUUCUCCCCGAAAGCUAUUUAGGUAGCGCCUCGUGAAUUCAUCUCCGGGGGUAGAGCACUGUUUCGGCAAGGGGGUCAUCCCGACUUACCAACCCGAUGCAAACUGCGAAUACCGGAGAAUGUUAUCACGGGAGACACACGGCGGGUGCUAACGUCCGUCGUGAAGAGGGAAACAACCCAGACCGCCAGCUAAGGUCCCAAAGUCAUGGUUAAGUGGGAAACGAUGUGGGAAGGCCCAGACAGCCAGGAUGUUGGCUUAGAAGCAGCCAUCAUUUAAAGAAAGCGUAAUAGCUCACUGGUCGAGUCGGCCUGCGCGGAAGAUGUAACGGGGCUAAACCAUGCACCGAAGCUGCGGCAGCGACACUAUGUGUUGUUGGGUAGGGGAGCGUUCUGUAAGCCUGUGAAGGUGUACUGUGAGGUAUGCUGGAGGUAUCAGAAGUGCGAAUGCUGACAUAAGUAACGAUAAAGCGGGUGAAAAGCCCGCUCGCCGGAAGACCAAGGGUUCCUGUCCAACGUUAAUCGGGGCAGGGUGAGUCGACCCCUAAGGCGAGGCCGAAAGGCGUAGUCGAUGGGAAACAGGUUAAUAUUCCUGUACUUGGUGUUACUGCGAAGGGGGGACGGAGAAGGCUAUGUUGGCCGGGCGACGGUUGUCCCGGUUUAAGCGUGUAGGCUGGUUUUCCAGGCAAAUCCGGAAAAUCAAGGCUGAGGCGUGAUGACGAGGCACUACGGUGCUGAAGCGACAAAUGCCCUGCUUCCAGGAAAAGCCUCUAAGCAUCAGGUAACAUCAAAUCGUACCCCAAACCGACACAGGUGGUCAGGUAGAGAAUACCAAGGCGCUUGAGAGAACUCGGGUGAAGGAACUAGGCAAAAUGGUGCCGUAACUUCGGGAGAAGGCACGCUGAUAUGUAGGUGAAGCGACUUGCUCGUGGAGCUGAAAUCAGUCGAAGAUACCAGCUGGCUGCAACUGUUUAUUAAAAACACAGCACUGUGCAAACACGAAAGUGGACGUAUACGGUGUGACGCCUGCCCGGUGCCGGAAGGUUAAUUGAUGGGGUUAGCGGUAACGCGAAGCUCUUGAUCGAAGCCCCGGUAAACGGCGGCCGUAACUAUAACGGUCCUAAGGUAGCGAAAUUCCUUGUCGGGUAAGUUCCGACCUGCACGAAUGGCGUAAUGAUGGCCAGGCUGUCUCCACCCGAGACUCAGUGAAAUUGAACUCGCUGUGAAGAUGCAGUGUACCCGCGGCAAGACGGAAAGACCCCGUGAACCUUUACUAUAGCUUGACACUGAACAUUGAGCCUUGAUGUGUAGGAUAGGUGGGAGGCUUUGAAGUGUGGACGCCAGUCUGCAUGGAGCCGACCUUGAAAUACCACCCUUUAAUGUUUGAUGUUCUAACGUGGGCCCCUUACCGGGGUUGCGGACAGUGUCUGGUGGGUAGUUUGACUGGGGCGGUCUCCUCCUAAAGAGUAACGGAGGAGCACGAAGGUUGGCUAAUCCUGGUCGGACAUCAGGAGGUUAGUGCAAUGGCAUAAGCCAGCUUGACUGCGAGCGUGACGGCGCGAGCAGGUGCGAAAGCAGGUCAUAGUGAUCCGGUGGUUCUGAAUGGAAGGGCCAUCGCUCAACGGAUAAAAGGUACUCCGGGGAUAACAGGCUGAUACCGCCCAAGAGUUCAUAUCGACGGCGGUGUUUGGCACCUCGAUGUCGGCUCAUCACAUCCUGGGGCUGAAGUAGGUCCCAAGGGUAUGGCUGUUCGCCAUUUAAAGUGGUACGCGAGCUGGGUUUAGAACGUCGUGAGACAGUUCGGUCCCUAUCUGCCGUGG
rnacentral:rRNA from 1 species